rnacentral:lncRNA from 1 species
UGUGGUUUGUNCACAUGUGUUUGGUAUAAUUUNUUCUUAUNAAAAAUAUUAAUGUCUUUGGUUGUCUUCUUUUUGUGAUUAUUGCUCUUAUUUAUUGUUGUUGUCGUUUCUUAAAAUUUUUGGUAAAUUUGAAAGAAUUAUUUUCACUUCAUACUUUAAUACUUUUGAUUGUCGUUUCUUAAAAUUUUUGGUAAAUUUGAA